GGAAACUGAGGAUAAUACUGGAUAGGCAAUUAUUCCUGCAAUGGUUUUUUGUUUAAAUGUUUUUUCGCCUAAGGAUGGGUCUGCGGCCGAUUAGGUAGUUGGUUAGGUAACGGCUUACCAAGCCAUUGAUCGGUACGGGUUGUGAGAGCAAGAGCCCGGAGAUGGAACCUGAGACAAGGUUCCAGGCCCUACGGGGUGCAGCAGGCGCGAAACCUCCGCAAUGUGAGAAAUCGCGACGGGGGGAUCCCAAGUGCCAUUCUUAACGGGAUGGCUUUUCAUUAGUGUAAAGAGCUUUUGGAAUAAGGGCUGGGCAAGACCGGUGCCAGCCGCCGCGGUAACACCGGCAGCUCUAGUGGUAGCAGUUUUUAUUGGGCCUAAAGCGUCCGUAGCCGGUUUAAUAAGUCUCUGGUGAAGUCCUGUAGCUUAACUGUGGGAAUCGCUGGAGAUACUAUUAGACUUGAGACCGGGAGAGGUUAGAGGUACUCCCAGGGUAGAGGUGAAAUUCUGUAAUCCUGGGAGGACCGCCUGUUGCGAAGGCGUCUAACUGGAACGGUUCUGACGGUGAGGGACGAAAGUUAGGGGCGCGAACCGGAUUAGAUACCCGGGUAGUCCUAACCGUAAACGAUGCGGACUUGGUGUUGGGGCGGCUUUGAGCUGCUCCAGUGCCGAAGGGAAGCUGUUAAGUCCGCCGCCUGGGAAGUACGGUCGCAAGACUGAAACUUAA
rnacentral:rRNA from 1 species